GCCGUUGGUGUUCCGUAGAAAGAGGACAGUUGGUUGUCGGCUGCUGAGCUCUUGUCGAAAUUCAGACUCUGUCAAGAAUGGAUCCCUCAGCCCCCUGGCCCUGGAUCGUCAUUUCGAUUUCGGUGGUCGUGGGUGAGACGGGAGAUGAUGACGAAGGAGAAUGAAGGCGAGAAGACGGAGAUGAGUGACAAAUAAUCCAAGAAAUCUCAGAGGUAAAACUCAACGCUGCGAUGCCUGACAGCGGUAAUCAACAACGAGCCACCAACCGCUCGUGGGAUCAUCGCCACUAGUGAUGACGUCAUUCUCACAAUUCAUGACGUCACGGCGUUGUUCCUCAGCGUCAUUGUGAUUUAAUCUUUCUCCACCAGACUCGAAUCACGACUUGAAAAGAUAAUCCCUUUUCCUGGUCUUCAAUCAAGAGCAAUCUUGAUGGAAGAGCAAAGCACGAACGAAGAGAAGAGAGGAAUACAUAUUCAGACAAAUAAAGUACAAUAGGAAAAGAUUAAUGUUUUGAGGGAAGGAAGAAAUAUGGAAGGCAGGCGAAACUUUGAGCUUUCUGAUCUGCUGUGCAAUUUGCAAAAACGAGGACUUAGCUCUUUAGAGGAAUGGUAUUAGAGGUUUGAAAUGCCUGAAUGACACUUGUCAGGUUACUUCUUCCCGCGCUUAGGGCCCGGUCUAAAAAAUGUUAAGUUGUCAGUCCCACUGGCAUUAGUAAAAAAUAGUAAAAAAUGGAUCCCCCGAAGCAGAAAAACCCAGUUUUUGGGGAUUCAUGCCAAAGUUCUAUAUUCUAUAUUGAAACAUUUAGAUAUUAUCUCUUAUACAUGUAUGAAAAUAGGACUAGUUCUACAAAUGACGGGACUUCUCAAGCAGCAGAUAUCAGAUUAAGAUAUUGGAUAGUUUUGUUAGAGACUAUUCAUGGUUUUGCGAUGAGAACUAUUUUACAAAGGGAAACUGAACAUACGUGAAAUAAUCCUUUUGAAAUCCACAUAAAGAGGACAUGUUAGAAGUGACCAUUUGAACAGAGGAUAAUAUUACCAAACGCUAAAAAGAUUUAAUAUUGCAUAAUCUAAUGUCACAGCUCCUUUGACCAUGGACGAAUGUAAGGAGGAAUUCAGAUUUAAUAUUAAAGAUUGAUUAUUGAUUUUGUUGAAUGAUGUAAAUGAUGAGUUCGUGGAAAUAAUGGUACUGUGAGAUGACAACACUAUUCAGAGGGCCGUUUAAAACCAGAUUUUAAAGGCGAGUGCAUCUGAAUUAGAAUUCAUAAUCAUCUUAGAAUCUGGUCGAACCUUCUUAAGACCAGAGACCAUUCUUCCUCGAGAUUUCCUUUUAUUCACGCAGAAAAAUGACUCCUUUGGAUACAUAAUCUUUGUCCAACAUGAUUCACGGACAUUGAAAAUAUAGGUCAUGCCUCACUGGUUAUGUUAUGUGACUUUCAUAUUUAAAGAAAAAAUUGGGAAUUGUCUCCUACAGAAUACUGUAUUCAAAUACAGUUUAUGGAAGACCAAAAGCAUUCCAUAAAUUCUCAGGUGUAACUGAUCUCAAAUAUGUAAAAUUAAGAAUAAAGAUAUUUUAUACGAA